rnacentral:rRNA from 1 species
GACGAACGCUGGCGGCGUGCCUAUACAUGCAAGUAGAACGCUGAAGAGAGGAGCUUGCUCUUCUUGGAUGAGUUGCGAACGGGUGAGUAACGCGUAGGUAACCUGCCUGGUAGCGGGGGAUAACUAUUGGAAACGAUAGCUAAUACCGCAUGAAAUUGCUUAUCGCAUGAUAAUUAAUUGAAAGAUGCAAUUGCAUCACUACCAGAUGGACCUGCGUUGUAUUAGCUAGUUGGUGAGGUAACGGCUCACCAAGGCGACGAUACAUAGCCGACCUGAGAGGGUGAUCGGCCACACUGGGACUGAGACACGGCCCAGACUCCUACGGGAGGCAGCAGUAGGGAAUCUUCGGCAAUGGGGGGAACCCUGACCGAGCAACGCCGCGUGAGUGAAGAAGGUUUUCGGAUCGUAAAGCUCUGUUGUAAGAGAAGAACGGGUGUGAGAGUGGAAAGUUCACACUGUGACGGUAUCUUACCAGAAAGGGACGGCUAACUACGUGCCAGCAGCCGCGGUAAUACGUAGGUCCCGAGCGUUGUCCGGAUUUAUUGGGGCGUAAAGCGAGCGCAGGCGGUUAGAUAAGUCUGAAGUUAAAGGCUGUGGCUUAACCAUAGUAUGCUUUGGAAACUGUUUAACUUGAGUGCAGAAGGGGAGAGUGGAAUUCCAUGUGUAGCGGUGAAAUGCGUAGAUAUAUGGAGGAACACCGGUGCGAUAGCUGCUCUCUGGGUCUGUAACUGACGGCUGAGGCUCGAAGCGUGGGAGCAAACAGGG